CACAUGCAUGGACAUUUAUAUACACAAUGUUCCAAAUGACACACAAUGAAUAUGAAACAAAUGAGACAUUCAUUCUCUGAAUUAUGAAUAAUACAUUCUUUAAUAAUGACUUUAAUAAUAAAUUCCACUUUUAUAUGUAGUAAUUAUGACUUGCUAGCACUGAGAAUAUAGAGACAGAUCCAAUGUACAGCAUUCAUUUUAUAUGCACAACAGUGAUGCUACAACAUGUUUAAGAUGCUCUUUAAGUAGCUGCUUUCCAUGUUUAUAUAACUGGGCUAGUGACAAUGCGUUCUUUCUCUUUUUUUUCUUUUCUCUUUUCUAUCUAUUCAUCUACAUACUGAAAUUACUCUCCACACUUUCUUUGUGCCUCUGUCUAGUCAUCCAGGGAACAAGUGGCCAUUCAAAGUGCGCUGAUCUCUGAGGGCAUACAGACACAAGCCUACCAGCCUCCAUUCCAGCCCUGCAACAACACCAAACUGCUUCAGAAUUCACUUGGAAAAUACAGCUGUCAGCACCACGGCCAGACGAUCAAUAACAACAUCUCCUCAAAGCCAGAGAACUACACACACUGUUCAAAACUCAUCGGCUAGAGUGUCUGCCUUUAUACUUGUCCAUCUCAAACAAUUUACAGUAAGUGACUAAUAAAACUGCUUUUUCCUGAAUAAAGCUGAAUAUUUCUUAUGCUCAUCAAAAAGCUGUUGAUCUAAAAAAUACAGUAAAAACAAUAAUGUGAAAUUUUAUUACAAUUUAAAAGAACUGUUUUCUAUUUGAAUAUAAAAUGUAAUAUAACCAUGUCCUGUGAUGGCAAAGCUGAAUUUUCAGCAUCAUUACUCUAGUCUUCAGUGUCACAUGAUCCUUCAGAAAUCAUUCUAUGCCGAUUUGGUGCACAAGAAACAUUUCUUACUAUUAUCAAUGUUGAAAACAGUUGUGCUGCUUUUAAUGGUUUUUAUGGAAACCAUGAUACGUUGAUUGAUAUAAAAGUGUGGCCAAUAAAAUAUGCAAAUAUAUGUUUUAAUGCUUUUCUCAUCAAAAUGGCUAUAAAGUGCUGACUAGGCAAAUGAGGUGGGAGUCUGCCCUCUAGGGGUUAUCAAGUGCCACUGCUGACUGAUUUUAAGCAUUUAGAAACCCAAUUAACCUCAAAACGUGUUAUUUUACUAUGCAAAUCAAAUUGUUUUGGAUAAAUAUAU